rnacentral:rRNA from 1 species
CCUACGGGGAGCAGCAGUGAGGAAUAUUGGUCAAUGGGCUUACGCCUGAACCAGCCAAGUCGCGUGAGGGAAGACUGCCCUAUGGGUUGUAAACCUCUUUUGUCAGGGAGCAACGCCGGCUACGUGUAGCCGGACUGAGAGUACCUGAAGAAAAAGCAUCGGCUAACUCCGUGCCAGCAGCCGCGGUAAUACGUAGGGUGCAAGCGGUAUCCGGAUUUACUGGGUGGAAAGGGAGCGUAGACGGCAGUGCAAGUCUGAUGUGAAAUGCCGGGGCUUAACCCCGGAAGUGAAUUGGAUAAUGGACAGUUAGAGUGCAGGAGAGGAAAGUGGAAUUCCUAGUGUAGCGGUGAAAUGCGUAGAGAUUAGGAGGAACACCAGUGGCGAAGGCGGCUUACUGGACUGUAACUGACGUUGAGGCUCGAAAGCGUGGGGAGCAAACAGGAUUAGAUACCCGAGUAGUC